rnacentral:rRNA from 1 species
GAUGAACGCUGGCGGCGUGCCUAAUACAUGCAAGUCGAGCGACCAGACGAGGAGCUUGCUCCCUUGACGUUAGCGGCGGGCGGGCGAGUAACACGUGGAUCACCUACUUCUAAGACUGGGAUAACUUCGGGAAACAGGAGCCACUACUGCAUAAUAUAUUGAACGGCAUGGUUCAAUAGUGAUAGACGGUUUUGCCGUUUCUUUUAGCUGGUUUCGCGUCGCAUUGGCUAGUUGGUAAGGUAACGGCCCACCAAGGCAACGAUGCGUAGCUGACCUGAGAGGAUGAUCAGCCACACUGGAACUGAGACACGGUCCAGACUCCUACGGGAGGCAGCAGUGGGGAAUCUUGCACAAUGGGCGAAAGCUUGACGGAGCAACGCCGCGUGGGUGAUGAAGGUCUUCGGGUCGUAAAACUCUGUUAUUAGGAAAGAAAAAAAGUGUGAGAAACUAUGGACGUCUUGACGGUACCUAAAGAGAAAGCAACGGCUAACUACGUG